rfam:Capsicum annuum cultivar Zunla-1 chromosome 6, whole genome shotgun sequence
AGACUAUUGAUGGUGUGGACACUCCUAAAUAAGAACCUUGAAGCAAUCCCAAGCAUGAUAGAGGUUUUCAUUAGGCUUUUGUUUGAAGCUCAAUAUCUCACUACGAAGUCU